GCAAGGGAUAUUGCGCAAUGGACGAAAGUCUGACGCAGCGACGCCGCGUGAGGGAUGAAGGCCUUCGGGUCGUAAACCUCUUUUAUUGGUGAAGAGUAAGGACGGUAACCAAUGAAUAAGCCUCGGCUAACUACGUGCCAGCAGCCGCGGUAAUACGUAGGAGGCGAGCGUUAUCCGGAUUUACUGGGCGUAAAGCGCGUGUAGGCGGCUUUCUAAGUUGGCAGUGAAAGGUCCCGGCUCAACUGGGAUUUGCCUGUCAAUACUGGAGAGCUUGAGGGCACCAGAGGAAAGUGGAACUCGCGGUGUAGCGGUGAAAUGUGUAGAUAUCGCGAGGAACACCAGUGGCGAAGGCGGCUUUCUGGGGUGUUCCUGACGCUGAGGCGCGAAAGCGUGGGGAGCGAAGCGGAUUAGAAACCCGAGUAGUCC
rnacentral:rRNA from 1 species